rnacentral:rRNA from 1 species
GGCUUAGAGUUUGAUCAUGGCUCAGGAUAAACGCUGGCGGCGCACAUAAGACAUGCAAGUCGAACGAACUUAACCUAUAGUUUACUAUUGGAGCGGUUAGUGGCGGACUGGUGAGUAACGCGUAAGCAAUCUGCCUAUCAGAGGGGAAUAACAGUGAGAAAUCACUGCUAAUACCGCAUAAGCUGUGAGUAUCGCAUGAUACAAGCAGAAAAGGAGCAAUCCGCUGAUAGAUGAGCUUGCGUCUGAUUAGUUAGUUGGCGAGGUAACGGCCCACCAAGACGAUGAUCAGUAGCCGGACUGAGAGGUUGAACGGCCACAUUGGGACUGAGAUACGGCCCAGACUCCUACGGGAGGCAGCAGUCGGGAAUAUUGCGCAAUGGAGGAAACUCUGACGCAGUGACGCCGCGUGCAGGAAGAAGGUUUUCGGAUUGUAAACUGCUUUAGACAGGGAAGAAGAAGUGACAGUACCUGUAGAAUAAGCUCCGGCUAACUACGUGCCAGCAGCCGCGGUAAUACGUAGGGAGCGAGCGUUAUCCGGAUUUAUUGGGUGUAAAGGGUGCGUAGAUGGAUAUGCAAGUUGGUUGUGAAAUACCUCGGCUUAACUGAGGAACUGCAACCAAAACUGUAAAUCUUGAGUACUGGAGGGGAAAGCG